rnacentral:rRNA from 1 species
AAGGGUGUGUAGGUGGUCUUGUUAGUCUCUCGUUAAAGCUCUCGGCUCAACCGGGAAAGUGCGAGGGAAACGGCAAGACUGUGAGGGUGUGAGAGGUUUGCGGAACUCUAGGUGUAGGGGUGAAAUCCGUUGAUAUCUAGGGGAACACCAAAAGCGAAGGCAGCAAACUGGCACAUUCCUGACACUGAAACACGAAAGCGUGGGGAGCAAAUGGGAUUAGAUACCCCAGUAGUCCACGCCCUAAACGAUGAUCUCUCGCUUUUCGGAGUAUCGACCCUCUGAGAGGCUUAGCUAACGCGUUAAGAGAUCCGCCUGGGUAGUACGACCGCAAGGUUAAAACUCAAAGGAAUAGACGGGGACUUGCACAAGCGGUGGAACAUGUGGUUCAAUUCGAUGGUAAACGAAGAACCUUACCAGGGUUAGAAAUCCAGACGAAUCCUAGAGGAAACUUUAGGAGUCUCACAAGGACGGCUGGACAGGUGCUGCAUGGCCGUCGUCAGUUCGUGGUUUGAAUUGUUCCCUUAAGUGGGGUAACGAACGCAACCCUCAUUGCCUGUUAUAUAUGUCAGGCGAGACUGCCCAGCCCUUUGAACCCGCCACGGGCGGAUUUAAAGGGCUGGGAGGAAGGUGAGGAUGACGCCAGGUCAGCAUGGCCCUCUGAUACCCUGGGCCACACACGUGUUACAAUGGCCGUUACAACGCGAUGCGACGGAGCAAUCCUGAGCUAAUCGUAAUAAAAACGGCCCCAGUUCGGAUUGGAGUCUGCAACUCGACUCCAUGAAGUUGGAAUCGCUAGUAAUCGCGG